GGGCUUCCUUGGCUUAUACGAAGGAACAGAAGACUUACGGUGCCACACGUUUCCUCUGCCCGUGGUGCAGCUAACCGAAAAGAACGCAGGCUGAUCAUUGAUUCAAAACGUGCUAGCUUUAAAGAUCAUGUUUUACAUGUUACGAUGCCUUCGGUUCAUCAAAG